AGAGCAAGAGGAUAGUGAAAUAAGAUGUGAGGAAUAAUUUCAUCUUUCAUGACCCCAAGGGGACAUAUCUGCUGAGCAUAAUUUUCCAAGUUUCCUUCUUAACAGUCAAUACAGUAGUCCCACCUUAUGCAUGGUUUUACUUACCCUCAGUCAACUGUCAUCCAAAAAUAUUCAAUACAAAAUUCCAGAAAUAAACAUUUUGUAAGUUUUAAAUUGCACAUCAUUCUGAGGAGCAUGAUGAAAUCUCUUGUAGUCCCACCUGGGACACGUGAACCAUAUAUACAACAUACCAUGCUGUAUACGUCACUUGCCCCUGGGUAACCUAGUAGCUGCCUUAGUUAUCAGGUUGACUUUAAUGGUUUUACGUUGCUUGUGUUCAAGUAAUCCUUCUUUUACUUAAUAAAGGCCCCAAAGUGCGAAAGUAGUGAUGUUGGCAAUUUGGAUAUGCCAAAGAGAAGCUGCACAGAGUGCUUUAAAUGAAAAGGUGAAAAUUAUCGACUUAAUAAAAAAAACCGUAUGCUGAAAUUGCUAAGAUCUAAGGCAGCCUGUAGAAGAAAAAUGACAUCCCAGCUGGAUACCAGAAAGAUCCUUCAGUAAUAAGGAUGGCCAAGGCUGGAAGAUGGAGAUGGAUGAGCAUCACAAGAUUCCAGAGUAAAACAGAUCAAAGAACAGAGAGGUACAUGGCCAAUAUGAUUUCAUCUGUCUUAAAUCCUUAAUAUCCAGUAGCCACUGUGGGACAGGUCUGCCCAUCCUUAAUUACUAUAUUAUUGACUGGAGUUACUGACCGGUUUUUAGGUCACUGAAGCACCAAGGUUCCUAUACAGAGCUACUGAGCAAAGUACUUGUUCACAAUUUUCAGUCUAACUAAAACCUUUAAGAAAACUUAGACUUUGAGAAUUCUAAGUCUUUAGCACAGAAUGAUGUGAAAUUACUGAUGUUAAUGUUGUGUCAUAAGAACCAAGAAGAAAAUUAAAUGAACCAAUCACAAUUCCAAAAUUCUCCAGAGGUUUAAUAAAUUCUGUAGUACCA